CGGACGGGUGAGUAAUGUAUGGGGAUCUGCCUGAUGGCGGGGAUAACUACUGGAAACGGUAGCUAAUACCGCAUAAUGUCUACGGACCAAAGCGGGGGACCUCCGGGCCUCGCGCCAUCAGAUGAACCCAUAUGGGAUUAGCUAGUAGGUAAGGUAACGGCUUACCUAGGCGACGAUCCCUAGCUGGUCUGAGAGGAUGACCAGCCACACUGGAACUGAGACACGGUCCAG
rnacentral:rRNA from 1 species